rnacentral:lncRNA from 1 species
CUUAACACUCCAAAGCUGCUACUCAUAUAAAACAGGAACAUCUGCACAUGCUCAGUCUCUUGUCAACAAAAUAAACUCAACCUUCAGAAACUGCUCAAAGAAAACUGUAAAAUUCACACAUAUCCAGUAGCUCUUUAGCUCUUACUUUAUCAUUAGCUCUGGAAGAAAUAUAAGAAAAUUUAUAGCAUACUUCUAAAGAAAUUAAAAUUUCCCAAAGAAUUUGGGAUAUGAAGAUGCUUAUACAAUAACUUGGGAAUUAAAUUUUCAAAGCAGUGUCAUUGUCAAGUUGUUGAGAAUUAGGUAGAAUAUUACCUUUUCUAUUUUAACAAGGAAAGGUGAUUUUUUCAGAAGAUUAGUUGUCACAGUGACUUCAGCUAAGCUGAUGGCUAGUUUGGUCUGAGGAAUGCUUGUCUGGGGCCAUGUUGAUGUGGUGGCCACCUGUUUGAUUGGUUUUUUGGCACUGUGGUGGAAUUGUUUAUAAGAAACCGUGCUGAACUGCAGAGAGCUUUCAGCAAGACUUUUAUUAAAGAGACAGGAGAGAAAAAAAUGCAGACAAGAAGAUCACAAAUGCAUCAGAUGGCAACGAGAAAGGGAUUCUGUUUCACCUUGACUCCUUGUUUCCACUAACAACCUCUCCUUUAUCUACAGCACUGAUUUUUUGCCUUCUGCUGUCUACUCUGCCCUCUUAACUCUAUGCAAUCCAUGUCUCUCAAGGCGCAGGAAACAACAGCCAAUAUUGCAGAACCUGAGGAUAUGAAAUUACUUCCUCCCUUCCCCUCAAAGAGAUCAAACAGUGGAAACUGGGACUUAUGGAUACUUCAGGCAUUUGCAAAUGAACAUGUAUGAAGAAAGAAGGAGCACCAUCUAACAGUCUUUUUAGACUGCUCUUUAUCAGGGUGCUCCUAUCUAAAGGGAUGUAAGACUGAACAGUCCUAGCCAGCAUGGGUAUGUGAAACCAGGUGCCUCUUGACCUAUCACCUCCUUCUAUGACAAUCUAGUGGAUUCUGUUUAGUGGAUGAGGGGGAGACUGUGGGUGAUGCCUCCCAGAUUGUUGUAGUCUUUGACACUGCCUCCCACAUAAUUCUCGACCAGAAAUUAGCUGCUCAUGAAUUGGAUAGAUGUGGUCUUCCCUGGGUGAAAAACUAACUGGAUGUCUCAGCCCUGAGAGUGGUGGUAAAUGGAGUUAAAUACAGUUGGUGACCAGUCACUAAGGACGCUCCCAAAGGCUCCCAAAGUAUUGGAGCCAGUCCUGUAUAAUAUCUUUCACUGAUAAUAUGGAUGCAGGGAUCAAGGGCACUCUCAGUAAAUUUGCAGAUGACAUGAAGCUGGCAGGAUGGAAGGACAUGGAGGGCAGGAAGGCUCUGCAGAGGGAUCUGGACAGGCUGGAUCAGUGGGUCAAGGACAAUUGUAUGAGGUUCAAGAAGG